UUUUGCCCUUUAUAUUAUAUAGAUAUAUUAAAAUUGUGCAGCGAAGUUGUUGUAUAAAAAGGUAAAAGUACUGGUAUACACUUUUAAGUUUGUAAUAGAAAUUAAUUGAAAUGCCAUAGAAACAAAAAAACCAACUCUUUAUAGUAAAUAUUAAAAGCGCAACAUUAAGACGUACAAUUACACUUAAAUGUAACAUAAUUAUUAAACACAUGCAAAAGGGACUGAAUUGUUACUAUGCAUUCCAUAUCUCACAAAAAUUGUAAACACACUUUAUAAGUGUAGGAUAAGUCGACUUUGGACAAUCAUGAUCAGAAGUACAAGGAACGCGAGCUGCAUUGUCAAACAAGAAAAAAUAAAUAUUAUUAAAAGAUGAUGUAAUAUUGUAUAUAAGAGAAAUUUGAAAAUGGUGUGAAAUGUGACAUACUUCUACUAGUUACAAUAAAAAGUAAAGAAGAAAACAAGAUCAAAGCAUAAUAAAACAUGAUCAUUUGAGUCAUGGUGUUUCUCUUUUGUAUGCAAGAAAUAGAAUUAUAUUGAUCCUUUAUAAAUAAAACUUUCAUGCUUUGUUAUCUUCAAUUAAAUAGUUUUUAGCAUUUACAAAUUGCAAAAAGUCAUUUAUA
rnacentral:lncRNA from 1 species